rnacentral:lncRNA from 1 species
AACCCCGCCCUGGAACCCCGCCCUGGAGCUCCGCCCUCACCCAAGAUGGCCGCGCUGCCCUCAGCCGCCCGCGUGACGCCAGCCGCGCCGCGCGCCGAGGCACGUGACGCCGGUUACCCCGGCAACCGCCGCGGCUUCCCGUGCCCACCCGCUCACCUAGCUCUCCCCCGGCUACGGCGAGCGGCGAGCGGCAGAAAGAGCCGGCGUAGGCGGGGGGCGAAGCGCCCCCUGCCCUUCCCUGCAGAGCCGGGGGCAGCAAGGGUUCGAUCAUCAUUCAGAAUCUGAAGUGGAGGAAUCUGAGGACCACACACCCAUAGUUGAAUCCCCACCAUCACUGGAUGACUUACCUGGCCUGGAAACACCAGCAUCUGCAGCCCAGCCAUCUGUAGUGGAAUUGCCACUAUCUGCAGACCAGCUGGCUGUCAAGAAGCCACCCCAUUCCGAGCACCAUUUCCAGCUCACUGUAUAGUCUGCAUCCAGGGAAAGCUCACCUGAGAUCAGAUCACCUCUGGGUGAACUUCCAGGUUUCAAAGUCAAGAUGCACACCUCUGAAUCCACACAGGAUGGCAGUAACACCGUUGAGGCUGUGUUGUCAGCAGCAGAGAUUGCAUUUGAAUCAUUGGAGAAUCCAGAGGAUUUUGGAGACCCCUAUCAAGUUGCCAUGAAUUAUGUGGAGGAACAUAAAAUUCUACAGCUAUUUCAGGAUAUCACAGAAAAACUGCUGAUCCAUAAGCCUGAUGACCCCUUGCAGUUCAUAUUGCUGGAGGUAGGGUGCCUUGCUGGGGCUCUGUGGGAACAGGGUCAGCUUUGCAGAGCACACCAGAGUCAUGGUCAGCCCAGGACUGUUUCCCUGACUGUGUGUCUGCUGUCUUGGGAGGGAGAAAAGCACAGGCAGCAGCAGAGGGCCUAGGGUGCAAGGACCAUGUGUGCUCUGAGA